AAGUCGUAACAAGGUUUCCGUAGGUGAACCUGCGGAAGGAUCAUUGGGAAGAGUGGGGGAAAGAUGUUGGAAUGUGGGGAUGGUGAUAUCACGUGACAAACUAUUCUUUAGAAUAAUGACUAGCCACCUGGGAUCUCUGGGCUCUU
rnacentral:misc_RNA from 1 species